rfam:Sarcophilus harrisii ctg7180002266149, whole genome shotgun sequence.
GGUAAAAUGGCCGAGGAUAAGCAUUGAACUGUAAAUUCAAAGACAGAGACUAGAUAUCUCUUUUUAACCA